AGAACCUUACCAGGUCUUGACAUCCUCUGACAAUCCUAGAGAUAGGACGUCCCCUUCGGGGGCAGAGUGACAGGUGGUGCAGGGUUGUCGUCAGCUCGUGUCGUGAGAUGUUGGGUUAAGUCCCGCAACGAGCGCAACCCUUGAUCUUAGUUGCCAGCAUUCAGUUGGGCACUCUAAGGUGACUGCCGGUGACAAACCGGAGGAAGGUGGGGAUGACGUCAAAUCAUCAUGCCCCUUAUGACCUGGGCUACACACGUGCUACAAUGGACAGAACAAAGGGCAGCGAAACCGCGAGGUUAAGCCAAUCCCACAAAUCUUUUCUCAGUUCGGAUCGCAGUCUGCAACUCGACUGCGUGAAGCUGGAAUCGCUAGUAAUCGCGGAUCAGCAUGCCGCGGUGAAUACGUUCCCGGGCCUUGUACACACCGCCCGUCACACCACGAGAGUUUGUAACACCCGAAGUCGGUGAGGUAACCUUUUAGGAGCCAGCCGCCGAAGGUGGGACAGAUGAUUGGGGUGAAGUCGUAACAAGGUAGCCGUAUCGGAAGGUGCGGCUGGAUCACCUCCUUUCUAAGGAUAUUUUACGGAAUAUAAGACCUUGGGUCUUAUAAACAGAACGUUCCCUGUCUUGUUUAGUUUUGAAGGAUCAUUCCUUCGAAACGUGUUCUUUGAAAACUAGAUAACAGUAGACAUCACAUUCAAUUAGUAAGACAAGAUAUCACAUAGUGAUUCUUUUUAACGGUUAAGUUAAAAAGGGCGCACGGUGGAUGCCUUGCCACUAGGAGCCGAUGAAUGACGGGACGAACACCGAUAUGCUUCGGGGAGCUGUAAGCAAGCUUUGAUCUGGAGAUUUCCGAAUGGGGAAACCCACCACUC
rnacentral:misc_RNA from 1 species